rnacentral:rRNA from 1 species
GAUGAACGCUGGCGGCGUGCCUAAUACAUGCAAGUCGAGCGGUAAGGCCCUUCGGGGUACACGAGCGGCGGACGGCUGAGUAACACGUAGGAACCUACCCCAAACUGAGGGAUAAGCACCAGAAAUGGUGUCUAAUACCGCAUGUGCUCUACGGAGUAAAGCUUCGGCGGUUUGGGAAGGGCCUGCGGCCGAUUAGCUAGUUGGUGGUAGAAAAGACUACCAAGGCGACGAUCGGUAGCUGGUCUGAGAGGAUGAUCAGCCAGACUGGGACUGAGACACGGCCCAGACUCCUACGGGAGGCAGCAGUAGGGAAUUUUCCACAAUGGGCGAAAGCCUGAUGGAGCAACGCCGCGUGCAGGAUGAAUGCCUUCGGGUUGUAAACUUCUUUUAUCUGUGACGAAUAUGACGGUAGCAGAUGAAUAAGGACCUGCUAACUACGUGCCAGCCGCCGCGGUAA